AGAGUUUGAUCCUGGCUCAGGAUGAACGCUAGCGGCAGGCUUAACACAUGCAAGUCGAGGGGCAGCAUGUCCAGCAAUGGAUGAUGGCGACCGGCGGAAGGGUGCGUAACGCGUGAGCAACAUGCCCUAUACAGGGAGAUACACCAGGGAAACUUGGUCUAAUAUCCCAUAGCAUUCAUUGAAGGCAUCUUUAAUGAAUUAAAGCUUCGGUGGUAUAGGAUUGGCUCGCGUGACAUUAGCCAGAUGGUGAGGUAACGGCUCACCAUAGCAAUGAUGUCUAGGGGUUUUGAGAGGAAGGCCCCCCACACUGGGACUGAGACACGGCCCAGACUCCUACGGGAGGCAGCAGUGAGGAAUAUUGGACAAUGGAUGGAAAUCUGAUCCAGCCAUGCCGCGUGCAGGAAGACGGCCUUAUGGGUUGUAAACUGCUUUUAUACGGGAGCAAUAAGGGUUACGAGUAAUCCGAUGAGAGUACUGUAUGAAUAAGGAUCGGCUAACUCCGUGCCAGCAGCCGCGGUAAUACGGAGGAUCCGAGCGUUAUCCGGAAUUAUUGGGUUUAAAGGGUGCGUAGGCGGCCAUUUAAGUCAGCGGUGAAAUUUUGCAGCUUAACUGUAACAGUGCCGUUGAUACUGUUUGGCUAGGAUUUGGUUGUAGUGUGCGGAAUGUGUGGUGUAGCGGUGAAAUGCUUAGAUAUCACACAGAACACCGAUUGCGAAGGCAGCACACUAAGUCAUUAUUGACGCUGAGGCACGAAAGUGUGGGGAUCAAACAGGAUUAGAUACCCUGGUAGUCCACACUGUAAACGAUGAUAACUCGCUGUCGGCGAUACACAGUCGGUGGCCAAGCGAAAGC
rnacentral:rRNA from 1 species